rnacentral:rRNA from 1 species
CAUAUCAAUAAGCGGAGGAAAAGAAACUAACAAGGAUUCCCCUAGUAACGGCGAGUGAAGCGGGAAAAGCUCAAAUUUAAAAUCUGGCGGUCUACGGCCGUCCGAGUUGUAAUCUAGAGAGGUGUUUUCCGUGCCGGACCGUGUAAAAGUCCCUUGGAACAGGGCGUCAUAGAGGGUGAGAAUCCCGUCCAUGACACGGACUACCGGUGCUCUGUGAUACACCUUCAAAGAGUCGAGUUGUUUGGGAAUGCAGCUCAAAAUGGGUGGUAAAUUCCAUCUAAAGCUAAAUAUAGGCGAGAGACCGAUAGCGAACAAGUACCGUGAGGGAAAGAUGAAAAGAACUUUGGAAAGAGAGUUAAACAGUACGUGAAAUUGUUGAAAGGGAAACACUUGAAGUCAGUCGCGUCUGCUGGGACUCAACCUUGCUUUUGCCUGGUGUACUUCUCAGUAGAUGGGCCAGCAUCAAUUUCGGGCGCCGGAAAAGGAUUUGAGGAAUGUGGCAGCUUGCUGUGUUAUAGCCUCUUGUCGUACACGGUGCUUGGGAUUGAGGACUGCAGCACGCCUUUUGGUCGGGGUUCUCCCACGCCACGUGCUUAGGAUGCUGGCGUAAUGGCUUUAAAUGACCCGUCUUGAAACACGGACCAAGGAGUCUAACAUGCCUGCGAGUGUUUGGGUGCAAAACCCAGGCGCGUAAUGAAAGUGAAAAGUUGGGACUCUUUAGUGAGGCACCGACGCCCGAUCCUGAAGUCUUCUGACGGAUUUGAGGCAGAGCAUGUAUGUUGGGACCCGAAAGAUGGUGAACUAUGCCUGAAUAGGGCGAAGCCAGAGGAAACUCUGGUGGAGGCUCGUAGCGAUUCUGACGUGCAAAUCGAUCGUCAAAUUUGGGUAUAGGG